GGAACCACAGAAGCUUCCUUGUUCAUGUGGGAAUGGAGAUUGCAGACACAGUGUUAGAUCGUGGGGUGAAAGCUUCAUGAGUUCUCUGCUUAUCAAUCAAUAUUGUUGUCAUAAAUCUGUUGUUCUCCUUUCUUAUUUUUGUUCAGAGAUGCAAAGAUAUUUUCAUAUAUUGAUGAUGUAACUUUGCUUUCUGUGUUUUCCCUCUAACACCCUACCACCGUGUGUUCCUCUGCUAUUCAUAAGGUCUAGCUGAGAAUUAAGUCUGUUGACAGAACUGACUCAGAAACAAUAAGAAUUGCAGGGAAAGUGCCUGGUGCUUGUCGCAGUCUAGGCAGAGGGGCAAAGAACAAAGAGCUGGAAUUCUUCUCUGAAGGUCUGAUACUGAUCCCAAGAGAGGUAAGUUUCUGCAGAAAAUCCUCGUAGUCUUAAGACAGCAGCAGCAACAACAGCAGCAAGAAACUCUCUGAGUAAUAGCAACUGUUUUCCAUGGAACUUGACCCACAACCUUUACCAACGCUGGAAUACAAACUUUUAUUAUGUUCCCCCAUUUGGAUAGCUUAAGCAAGCCUUGUGUAUUUACAUUCCUGGUUUCCAUCAUCCCUAGUAAUUAACCAGCUGUUAUUGUGCUUGCAAGAAGAAAAAUCAGAUUCAGGUUCUGAUCUUGAGGAACUAAUGGCACAGACUGAAAACCAAGAAUCAGAAAGGAAAUAGCACAAAACACUCCUCUCCAAAUGGUAUUAAAAUAAAAAAAAUAUACCUGAAAGAA